UACGUAGGUGACAAGCGUUGUCCGGAUUUACUGGGCGUAAAGUGUGCGCAGGCGGCUUCGCAAGUCGAGUGUGAAAUCCCCGAGCUUAACUUGGGAAUUGCGCUCGAAACUACGGAGCUGGAGUGUGGCAGAGGAAGGUGGAAUUCCACGUGUAGCGGUGAAAUGCGUAGAGAUGUGGAGGAACACCGAUGGCGAAGGCAGCCUUCUGGGCCAACACUGACGCUCAUGCACGAAAGCGUGGGGAGCAAACAGG
rnacentral:rRNA from 1 species